AAUAGAUACCCCGGUAGUCCACGCCGUAAACGUUGGGCGCUAGAUGUGGGGACCAUUCCACGGUUUCCGCGUCGUAGCUAACGCAUUAAGCGCCCCGCCUGGGGAGUACGGCCGCAAGGCUAAAACUCAAAGGAAUUGACGGGGGCCCGCACAAGCGGCGGAGCAUGCGGAUUAAUUCGAUGCAACGCGAAGAACCUUACCAAGGCUUGACAUAUGCGAGAACGCUCUAGAAAUAGAGAACUCUUUGGACACUCGUAUACAGGUGGUGCAUGGUUGUCGUCAGCUCGUGUCGUGAGAUGUUGGGUUAAGUCCCGCAACGAGCGCAACCCUCGUCGCAUGUUGCCAGCACGUAAUGGUGGGAACUCAUGUGAGACUGCCGGGGUCAACUCGGAGGAAGGUGGGGAUGACGUCAAAUCAUCAUGCCCCUUAUGUCUUGGGCUUCACGCAUGCUACAAUGGCCGGUACAAAGGGCUGCGAAACCGCAAGGUGGAGCGAAUCCCAAAAAGCCGGUCUCAGUUCGGA
rnacentral:rRNA from 1 species